ensembl:misc_RNA Metazoa_SRP Metazoan signal recognition particle RNA
GCCGGGCGUGGUGUUGCGCGCCUGUAAUCCCAGCUACUUGGGAGGCUGAGACAGGAGAAUCGCUUGAACCCAGGAGGCGGACGUUGCAGUGAGCUGAGAUUGCGUCACUGCACUCCAGCCUGGGCAACAGAGCUAGACCCUGUCUCAA